UACGAAGGGGGCUAGCGUUGCUCGGAAUGACUGGGCGUAAAGGGCGCGUAGGCGGCUCAUACAGUCAGGCGUGAAAUUCCUGGGCUCAACCUGGGGACUGCGCUUGAGACGUGUGGGCUUGAGUGGGGAAGAGGGUCGUGGAAUUCCCAGUGUAGAGGUGAAAUUCGUAGAUAUCGGGAGGAACACCAGUGGCGAAGGCGGCGACCUGGGUGGAUACUGACGCUGAGGCGCGAAAGCGUGGGGAGCAAACAGG
rnacentral:rRNA from 1 species